rnacentral:rRNA from 1 species
UACGAAGGGAGCUAGCGUUGUUCGGAAUCACUGGGCGUAAAGCGCACGUAGGCGGAUGUGUCAGUCAGGGGUGAAAUCCCGGAGCUCAACUUCGGAACUGCCUUUGAUACAGCACGUCUUGAGUCCGAUAGAGGUGGGUGGAAUUCCUAGUGUAGAGGUGAAAUUCGUAGAUAUUAGGAAGAACACCGGGUGGACGAAGGCGGCCCACUGGAUCGGUACUGACGCUGAGGUGCGAAAGCGUGGGGAGCAAACAGG